rnacentral:lncRNA from 1 species
CUAAGAAAGUUUUGUUAAGUUUCCAAGAAAAGGUUAUUCAGAAUUUCUUCUAUUUAGUCUAUGCCAUCUUGUUGGAAUCUUGGGGGGUGGUAUUUUAACAAAAAUGAAGAGAAACAGAUGGUGCAAAUAUAUUUCUUGAGGAAAGAGUAUUUGAGUGAUACACCAAGAUUUUAUGAGGCUUCCUCUUGCCAAAUAGGAUGUUGAGAUAAUGCACAGUUAAGAUGGCAAACUCAUCAAUUGUUAAACAGAUUCUGCCCACUUCUGUUAGGGGGUGCAAGAAUUGAGACGGUAACUCUGGGGAGGUUUUAGCUCUGGGAAUAUGGAGGGGAGUGGGAGCUUGGCUGCUUGCAUAGGCACAGUUCAUGUGUCUGUUUUAGGAAAGAAAUAAAAGAAAAAUCCAAAGCUCUAGUCUCUUCUACACAUGGAAAACUGACCUGAAAAAUUUUCAGUAGAUGCCUAUCUGCCUUUCUCCUUUCAAUGGUAGGGGAGGAUGCAUCCCUUCCUCUUUAUUCUAGCUGUGAAUUGGUAUGAUAGCACUGAGAAACAUGAUUCAUGAGGUAUUACUCUUGAUCUCCCAGACAAUGUGCUGAGUUAGUAGGUUCACUUGAGAUGUAUAAACUAGGGCUGAUUGUUUUUUUUUUUUCAUCUAGUACUCAAUUUGGAGAAUUUUUGCAUGUCUUUGUACAGUAAUCCAAUCUUCUCAUUGCUUACCUGAAUCUUUCUUUACUUCCCAGCAUCACUUCCAUGUCCCCAUACUUUCCUCCAAUCUAUGGCCCCACCCUAUGGCCUCAAAAAGGAAAAAAAAAAAUCCUCUUCUUCAUUCUAAUCCCUUUGGAAUUGAUGUGUCCUAUCCCACCCAGGGUUAACAUAAAGUGAAUAAGUGAAUGAGAUGUUCUAGUAUUAUAUAUUCUGAUAUGACUGGUUAGCAAUAUGAAAUAUGAUACACUGGCUUUCCUGUGUAAACUUUGCUUCUGGUGCCCAGCAAAGUAUGCUUGCCACUUUCCACCAGUUCUUAUAUUUUAAAAAAAAUGGGGCAAAAUCUGGGUGGGAAAGAGAAAGAAUGAGGGGAACAUUCUGUUUUUUUGAGACUUCCUAGUUCUUUCAGUAUGCAAAUAACUUAACAGUAUGAUAAUGAUUAAACAAUAAUGCAGUUCAGGGUACCGAGAGAAGGGAAAAAAAUGUUGAUUUCCAUUUUACUUCCCAUGUACCCUAUUUGCUAUAUUCUGUGAAUUGGUAUUUCCCUUGCUUUUGUCUUGUUUCCCCUAAAAGGUGUGGGGAGGGAAAGCUCUCUGUUCUCUACAGUAGUUCCUAGAGUUAGCCCAUUGAGGAUUGAGCAUCUAAUAAGAUGUCUCAAGUUUAUUCUUGGGGAAAUAUUUUCUCUUGCACCCCAACCCUGUUGGUCAUGGCUCAAGAAUAGAUCUGUUUGAGUGAACCCUGUAUAUUGUCCAACAGAAGUGGCCUAUUUUAAAAGGAAUUGAAAUGUCUUCUGGGGGAAAGAUUACAGCAAAGGUAUGUCCUAUUCCUCUCCCAGGGUUUGGGGAUUAGCCUUUUUUGUUUGUUAGUCACUUCCAUGGACUUUCCUGCUAAAACCUGUUUGCAGAACUGAACUCUAUAUUACAAAAAGAUGAGAUCACUGCACCAAGGGACAGGGAAAGCUUGCAUCACGUCGAUCUAUAAUUGUGACAUUGGUAGCUUCAUAAAUACUGUAUGUACCCUAAACAAGGUUUUGUUGUUUUGUUGUUGGUUUUUUUUUGUUUUUUGUUGAUGCUUUCAUUAGUAGUCUGAGAAAAUUAAAAGUCCUUUUUAAUUUGAUAUUUCUUUUUGUUGUAUUUUCUGUACUAUAACUGUCUGCAGUAUGUCUUUUGCAUAAAAUGCAUAAGGGUUUGGGG